AGGCCCCGUCCCGUCCGGCUGCAGAUCCUACCGCUACUUCCCCGACGCCCGCGCGCUCCAGAGCUGCAGAUCCUACGCGAUCCUGGGAAUCCCCUUGAUAGACACACCUCCAGAUCGCGACCUCCAGAUCGUCGAGAUGAGCAGAGGAAGAGGGUGAGGAAGACACGAGAUGGAUGAGAGCGAGGUAGAUGACUCACCUGAGCUGUUUUUUCCGACGAGCGCGAGGUAGACGAGGGCGAGGAAGACGGGGGAGACGGAUGAGGGCGGCGGUCCUGGGUGGAGAUGGUCUGGGCGACGUAGCAAACCCUGCCUUUCUAGCCUUUUCUCACGGUGGAGGGU
rnacentral:lncRNA from 1 species